rnacentral:ribozyme from 14 species
CCCAAUGAAAAGGAGAAAGAAAUAGUAACGGCUGGUCUAACAGAUGAAGAGAAAUAAUGGCUCACCGUCUCUUUGAUCUCAGCUGUAGCUCGUAUUUUUCCUUUUAUUUUUCUCUGUUUUAU